GCGCCCAUAGCUCAGUUGGAUAGAGCGUUGGACUACGAAUCCAAAGGUCGCAGGUUCGAAUCCUGCUGGGCGCACCA
rnacentral:tRNA from 1 species